rnacentral:rRNA from 1 species
AGGACGAACGCUGGCGGCGUGCUUAACACAUGCAAGUCGAACGGUUUAUAAGGGCUUGCCCUUAUAGAUAGUGGCGAACGGGUGCGUAACACGUGACCAACCAACCCCGAAGUUGGGAAUAGCUCUGCGAAAGUAGAGGUAAUACCGAAUGUGGUCCAGGGCGGACAUCCGCUCUGGUCUAAAGAUUUAUCGCUUCGGGACGGGGUCGCGGCCUAUUAGCUUGUUGGUGGGGUAACGGCCUACCAAGGCGAUGAUGGGUAGCUGGUCUGAGAGGACGACCAGCCACACUGGGACUGAGACACGGCCCAGACUCCUACGGGAGGCAGC